rnacentral:piRNA from 4 species
UUAUUUUCUCUGAAUCCUCUUCACUGGC